UCUCAGGGCGGGGUGAAAGUCCCCACCGGCGGUAAACAUUCCAUUGCGAAUGAAGCCCGCGAGCGCUUCACCUCAUGUGAAGGUCAGCAGAUCCGGUGUAAUUCCGGGGCCGACGGUUAAAGUCCGGAUGGGAGAGAA
rnacentral:ncRNA from 1 species